rnacentral:rRNA from 1 species
AUUGAACGCUGGCGGCAUGCUUUACACAUGCAAGUCGAACGGUAACAGGCCGCAAGGUGCUGACGAGUGGCGAACGGGUGAGUAAUGCAUCGGAACGUGCCCAGUCGUGGGGGAUAACGCAGCGAAAGCUGCGCUAAUACCGCAUACGAUCUAUGGAUGAAAGCGGGGGACCGUAAGGCCUCGCGCGAUUGGAGCGGCCGAUGUCAGAUUAGGUAGUUGGUGGGGUAAAGGCCUACCAAGCCAACGAUCUGUAGCUGGUCUGAGAGGACGACCAGCCACACUGGGACUGAGAAACGGCCCAGACUCCUACGGGAGGCAGCAGUGGGGAAUUUUGGACAAUGGGCGCAAGCCUGAUCCAGCAAUGCCGCGUGCAGGAAGAAGGCCUUCGGGUUGUAAACUGCUUUUGUACGGAACGAAACGGUCCGGGUUAAUACCCUGGGCUAAUGACGGUACCGUAAGAAUAAGCACCGGCUAACUACGUGCCAGCCGCCGCCGUAAAAC